GACGAACGCUGGCGGCGUGCCUAACACAUGCAAGUCGAGCGAGUGAAUCUCCUUCGGGAGUGAAGCUAGCGGCGAACGGGUGAGUAACACGUGGGCAACCUGCCUCAUAGAGGGGAAUAGCCUUCCGAAAGGAAGAUUAAUACCGCAUAAGAUUGUAGCUUCGCAUGAAGUAGCAAUUAAAGGAGCAAUCCGCUAUGAGAUGGGCCCGCGGCGCAUUAGCUAGUUGGUGAGGUAACGGCUCACCAAGGCGACGAUGCGUAGCCGACCUGAGAGGGUGAUCGGCCACAUUGGGACUGAGACACGGCCCAGACUCCUACGGGAGGCAGCAGUGGGGAAUAUUGCACAAUGGGGGAAACCCUGAUGCAGCAACGCCGCGUGAGUGAUGACGGCCUUCGGGUUGUAAAGCUCUGUCUUCAGGGACGAUAAUGACGGUACCUGAGGAAGAAGCCACGGCUAACUACGUGCCAGCAGCCGCGGUAA
rnacentral:rRNA from 1 species